CUCUCCUCCUCUUACUCUCCCUACCUAGUUCCUAUACAUAGCCUUCUCUCUCUCUCUCUCUCUAGACUUCCAGAUCUGUGAAGGCGGAUACGCUGUCAUGUGUGUUGCGGCGGUCUCUAAUUCGCUUGGUGCAGGUCGGGAACUGCCGCCGCCGGCUGAGCGGAGACGGUUGCGUCGUCGUCUCCGGCGAAUUUAGCUCCCGCCUUGCAUCAACUGAAUCGGAGCCCGCGGUGAAUUGUUUGUUGUCUCUGGCCUUUUUUCGAAUCCUGUACGCGCGGCGCGAGUCAACUACGUAUUGGACUCGUCUUAUCUCUUAGAUGCAGGUGGCUUUUCAGAGAUCCCUGUGUGAAGAUGCAAAAUGUGGCAAGAACUUAAAAUCGAUAGUAUCGACUCCAUCCAUCUCUUGUAGCCCAAAGAGUCAAUACCCCACCACCGGGGUUCAAUCCUGUGACCUUCUCUCAAGAAGAACCACAGAGGUACCAACUGAGUACAUGGUGCAAUCUGGUUGAUGAGAAGCUUAUUAUUCUCUGACAUGAACAAGUUCUGCAUUUUGAAAUUUUGUCAAAAGCCUUGCUUUCAUGGCAGUCCCUCAGCUGUUGUAAUUGACAUAUCCAUAUUCUGUACAGAUCUUAGUUCUUAGUUCUUACGUUAUGCAACUUGUACAGGAUUCAACACUUGUGACUAAUCUUAUUAGACUCAAUGAUUACUUCAUUAAUAUAAUAUAAUGCACAACUUUUUCAAUUCCCUCA